UAUUCGUUCCCGGCGCCGGAGCACCGCGUCCGGCCCAAGGUGACGGAAGAGAAACUGCUGUCCUCACUGCACAGACCCGGGUCUGGGGCUCGGCAGUGUCGCUUCCCCGUAUCCCCCGCCGCGGGGGCCGAGCUGGGGACCACGGAGUUCGGGUCCCCGCCCGUGUCUCCGGGCCUCGGUCCGCCCGCAGGCUCUGCCGGCGGCGGCUGCGCUGUGGGACCGGGCGCAGGUGGGGGCUGCGGUUCCCGGGUGGUCGCCCGCCCGACGCCGCCUCCCGAUCCUAAAGCUCCGAAUGGGGGCGCCUGCUGAGGCCGCUGCAGCCCGGGCGGACAGUGGGGGGCCCUGAGGGACGUCGCCAUUUCUGACGGCCAGUGGGAGACGGCGUGGCGGGUGCUCCCGGCAGAAGGACGAGCGUGUGCCGAGGCUUGGGGAUCAGCGACCUUUGAGGAUGUGGCCAUGACCUUCCCUUGGCGGUCCUAGCUCCACACAUUGAGCCCAAAGACCACUGUACCAGGAGGUGAUGCUGCAGACCUGGAUGCCCUUCUCUCACUGGCUGGCUUUUAUAUACAGGAUCCCCUUUAAGCGACCGAGCAAAACCUGACCCAACAGAGCCUACCACCAAGGAGCCUUGCUCCAUGGACAACUGACUUUGGGAGCCUCAGGGGGUGUCCAGAGUGGGCUGAGGCAGGGAUCAGCAAGGAAGGGCCUUCAGAAAUGCAGGAAAGGUGCUUGAGUGCAUGGCCAGUCCUCCAGGAGACUCCCUUGAAGAAGAGCCUCGAAUGCACAGUCUGCCGACAGGUCUGCGCUCAAGAGCUUUAUGGCAGAAGUUCUCUCCGG